UGCACCAACCCACACGUACAGUGGUACCCACGAACACGGCCGGCCAUUCUCUUGAGUCUUGACACGACCGUUCAUACACGAGUGGCUACGACCAUCUGCUCUCGUCUUGUGCCAGGUCCUGGCUGGAAGGCACAUAAAUAGGCGAGGAGUUGUGGAAGCGGGAAAAGGAAAGAACGCUCUCCUCUUCACAGGUCACUAUUGUCCCCCAGAGAGUGUCACAUGUAAUUAUUGUUGAUGUGCAGCAAUAUCUCUGACUAAGAGCCCACAUGCGUAGAAAGUCUUGACGAGGAAUCCCGUGAGAGACAUCUACUCAGUCCUGCUACUGGUCAAGGGUCUGAUUCUUCGGCUGUUCUGGCGCUGGUUCUCUCUGCACCGUCCAUACUCCCUCCUCACGUUUGCGGCUCAGUUUCAGAUCCCGACAAGAUUCCUAACACCAAGGACGAUGUCGGAACGAAGCAAGCCAGCGCCAUCCUCCCGGCCCUGCACCGCCCCACCGGGGAAGUCAAGGCGAUCGGCGGCCAAUAAGAAGCUGAUGAUCAAGCAGAAUUCCUGUGACACUGACACGAGGAUGCCCACCGUUCCUGAUAGGCCUGGAUCUGUGCUCCGUAAUGUCAAGGAGAAGAAGACUACUUUCCAGUGGUCCAAGUCGUAAAGUAACAGUGGCACAACGUAUGGACAGUGGACACCGGAAGAAGACCGUUACUGAACUAAAGUGAAGAGAGUAAGUGCCUGUACACUAGCCCUCGUCCAGGCAGCACCACGCAUUCAGUGAUCUACAUUGAUGGUAUCCAAAAUUGGUCAGUAUAGUACUCCGUGUGUCUGUGCCUGUGGGCAUCGGCUGAGGUGUUUUGCUGAUCGUUCAAGAAUCAAUUUAGCCGGACCACUGCAUAGAUUCGAUGUGUAGUUACACAACAACAACUUCCGGAGGCGAUGCUCACGUCCUUAGCCAAGAUUAUUUCUCAUUUCGUCUUGCCUGAAUCUGUGGUCUUUCAGUAUGUAUCAUGUAUACCCUCUUCAUACCGGCUCUCACCUGCAUGCGCUGGUUUGCAUGCAUAGACUGGAGUACUAGUGCUACUACUGGUCAUGCCUAUCACUAUCAGUUACAUGUAUCUCACAUUUCACAUGUUUUAUUAUGCUGCUCUAUUUAGCUCGGUGUCACUGUGAGUCUGUGAGUUAUAAGACUGCAAUUCAUGACAUCAUGUGGUCAUUGCAUUAUAAAUAUCCAUAUCACUAUUAUAAUAGUAUUGCGGUCAGGAACCAGGUAUUUACUGACCCUAUGCGCGGCUGCAUGGCUUCGCAUUGUCAACAAUUUAAGCCCAGCCAUACAUUGUACUUAUUCUCUGCCUUAUUUAUUAUCACGAUGGGACUAAAAGUCACAUCGCUCUGCGUUGCGGUUGAAUUUUUUAAUUCUUUUAUUUACAUUGUAUGUACCAACACAAAGGUAAUGCCUUCUUUUUCACAUACUUGUACAUGCGAAGAACAUCAUCAUGGCAAACAA